rnacentral:rRNA from 1 species
UACGAAGGGGGCUAGCGUUGCUCGGAAUCACUGGGCGUAAAGCGCACGUAGGCGGGUCCUUAAGUCAGGGGUGAAAUCCCGGAGCUCAACUCCGGAACUGCCUUUGAUACUGGGGAUCUUGAGUCCGGAAGAGGUGAGUGGAACUCCGAGUGUAGAGGUGAAAUUCGUAGAUAUUAGGAAGAACACCAGUGGCGAAGGCGGCUCACUGGUCCGGUACUGACGCUGAGGUGCGAAAGCGUGGGGAGCAAACAGG